UAAUUCAUUUAUGAAUGGAUAAGAACAGGAAAAUCAUAUUCCUGGUCGUACAUCAGCAAAAAACAUACAUCAUAAAAUAUUGACAAUAUAUUCAAUAGACAAAAUGUGUCAUUGCACAAAGAGAAGUGGUAACCUUUCUUUCUCUUCUUCUUGGUCCUUUCAUCCCAGGCGUUGGCACUGACAAGGGACACGUUGCCCUGGCCCAGGGAGGGCAGCAGUUUGGGCCGGGGGUCCACAGGGGGUUUGGGGAGCUUCUUUGGAGGAGGAGCAUCCCUCUGGGCUCUCCUGGCCAGCAGGGGUCCUGUCUGGACGAAGGCUUCAGGCCUGAUGAUGUCCCUGGGUGCGCUGCUGCUCCCUCUUGCAGCCUCCUCUGGCUGGGCAGCUUUCGGCAUGGAGAGAACAAACACAUUGUUGCUGAAGCUGCAUGACUCUGAAAGGGCCAGCUCCUCCAGGGUCAGAGGGCAGGCAGGACGUGACUCAGGCUGGACCAGACUCACAGCAGGACAGGACUCAAACUGGACUAGGUCCACAAUGCUGGUAGUGAUGCUCACAGGACUGGGAGGUCGGGACUCAAGAAUAACGGGACAAACAGGAUUACUGGGCCUCACUUUUCUCCUAGUGGUGCUCCGAGGGUUGCUCGGCCUCCCCUCAGGUCUGGAAGGCUGUACAUAAGACUGGACCAGGCCAACGGGGCUAACAGGCCGUCUAUUGGGGCAUUGAGGGUUAGAAGGCCUCCCCUCAGGUCUGGAAGGCUGUACGUCAAGCUGGACCAGGCCAACGGGGCUAACAGGCCGUCUAGUGGGGGGCCGAGGGUUGCUUGGCCUCCCCUCAGGUCUGGAAGGCUGUACGUCAGGCUGGACCAGGACAACGGGGCUAACAGGCCGUCUAGUGGGGCGUCGAGAGUUGCUAGGCCUCCCCUCAGGUCUGGAUGGCUGUACGUCAGGCUGGACCAGGACAACUGGUCUAACAGGCCGUCUAUUGGGGGGCCGAGGGUUGCUUGGCCUCCCCUCAGGUCUGGAAGGCUGUACGUCAGGCUGGACCAGGACAACGGGGCUAACAGGCCGUCUAGUGGGGCGUCGAGAGUUGCUAGGCCUCCCCUCAGGUUUGGAAGGCUGUACGUCAGGCUGGACCAGGACAACUGGUCUAACAGGCCGUCUAGUGGGGCGUCGAGAGUUGCUUGGCCUCCCCUCAGGUCUGGAAGGCUGUACGUCAGGCUGGACCAGGACAACUGGUCUAACAGGCCGUCUUGUGGGGCGUCGAGGGUUGCUAGGCCUCCCCUCAGGUCUAGUGAUGCUGACAGGGAUUCUAGGAAUCAUCAUCUCAUGCUGGUGCAGGCUCUCUGGGCUGCUGGGCCGGGAAUCAGGUAGAAGCUUGUAGUUCUUCAGAACCUCAGUGAAGGAGAGCUCCUUGUUGCGCCUGCGUC
rnacentral:lncRNA from 1 species